rnacentral:tRNA from 3 species
GUGCCUGUAGCUCAGUGGAAAGAGCACUGACCUCCGGAGUCAGGGGUCGGGAGUUCGAGUCUCCCCAGGCACG